rnacentral:rRNA from 1 species
UACGGGGGGGGCAAGCGUUGUUCGGAAUUACUGGGCGUAAAGGGCGCGUAGGCGGCCUUCUAAGUCGGACGUGAAAUCCCUCGGCUUAACCGAGGAACUGCGUCCGAUACUGAAAGGCUUGAAUCCGGGAGAGGGAUGUGGAAUUCCAGGUGUAGCGGUGAAAUUCGUAGAUAUCGGGAGGAACACCGGUGGCGAAGGCGGUUCUCUGGGCCUGUACUGACGCUGAGGAGCGAAAGCGUGGGGAGCGAACAGG